CCUACGUGCGGCAGCAGUGGGGGAUAUUGCACAAUGGGGGGACCCCUGAUGCAGCGACGCCGCGUGGGUGAAGGAGCGUUUCGGCGCGUAAAGCCCUAUCGGCAGGGAAGACGAUCACGGUACCUGACCAAGAAGCCCCGGCUAACUACGAGCCAGCAGCCGCGGUAAUACGUAGGGGACAAGCGUUAUCCGGAUUUACUGGGUGUAAAGGGGGAGCAGGCGGAAAUGCAAGCCUGUAGUGAAAGCCGGGGGCCUAACCCCGGGACUGCUCUUGGAACUGCACGGCUGGAGUGCAGGAGGGGCAGGCGGAAUUCGGAGUGUAGCGGUGAAAUGCGUAGAUAGUAGGAGGAACACCGGUGGCGAAGGCGGCCUGCUGGACUGUAACUGACGUUGAGGCCCGAAGGCGUGGGGAGCAAACAGGAUUAGAUACCCUUGUAGUC
rnacentral:rRNA from 1 species